UUUCCUGAAAGUUCCAGUCUUUUUUCCUGCAGCUUCAGCCAUCCAAUCUGAUAUUACCAAGAUGACUGAGCAUUCUCACUUCAAGCCUUCAGAAGGAAAGAUGCAUCCCUUCCUGGACAGUUCAUCUGUUGCCCAGGAUAAUGAUCUUAGCAUGCACACCACAGAAUCAAAAACUGAAUCUUUGGAUAAUAAAGACUUUGUAACAUCUACAUCCACUGAGCCCUUUUAUACAGUAACAGAAUUUUCAGAAGCCUCUACAGCAGCACUGCAACCGCUCAGUUAUGAUCAGAUCCUCAGUGAUCCUAACAGUAAUGUAUAUGAAGAAACUAUCCUGUCAAAAACAGAGGAAACAAAACCACAGAAGAAAAUGAGAAUGCACAUUCCUAGUCCUCUAAAAGGAACAUUGAAUAAAUUUAUUACAAAUGGAGUUAUACUCCUUAUGAUAUGGUGUAUAACCUGGUCACUCUCAGGCCCUGCAGUGCUUCCUGGUGGAAAUUUAUUUGGACUGUUAAUUGUUUUUUAUUGUGCUAUAAUUGGGGGUAAACUUUUACAACUAAUUAGAAUACCUUCAGUGCCUCCACUUCCACCUCUUCUUGGGAUGUUACUGGCUGGUUUUAUCAUCAGGAAUGUUCCAUUCAUCAGUAAGCAUGUCCAAGUUCAUAACACAUGGUCUUCAACUUUAAGAAACAUUGCGCUUACCAUUAUCCUUAUACGAGCAGGGCUUGGACUUGAUGCAAAGGCUUUGAAGCAUUUGAAGGGAGUUUGUUUAAGACUGUCCAUGGGUCCGUGUAUCAUGGAAGCCUGUUCAGCUGCUGUCUUUUCCCACUUCAUUAUGAAACUUCCCUGGGAAUGGGGAUUUCUAUUAGGCUUUGUGCUAGGUGCUGUCUCUCCUGCUAUUGUUGUCCCUUCCAUGCUGCUUCUGCAGGAAAACGGAUAUGGUGUUGAGAAAGGCAUCCCAACCUUACUAGUAGCUGCAAGCAGCUUGGAUGACAUCCUGGCCAUCACUGGAUUCAACACAUGCCUGAGCAUAGUCUUCUCCUCAGGUGGUAUACUUAAUAAUAUCGUAUCCUCCUUCCGGGAUGUACUUAUUGGUGUGCUGGUAGGAACUAUUCUGGGACUUUUUGUUCAUUUUUUUCCAAGUAAAGACCAGUCAAAACUCCCAUUGAAGAGAGCAUUCCUUAUUUUGAGUAUGUGUGUUUCUGCUGUCUUAGGCAGCCAACGUACUGGUUUGCAUGCAACUGGAGGAUUAUGUACAUUAGUGAUGUCUUUCAUUGCAGGGACAACAUGGUCUGAAGAAAAGAUUAGAGUCCAAAGUUUUGUUACAGCUGCAUGGAAUGUUUUUCAACCUCUUCUUUUUGGUUUAGUUGGAUCAGAAAUAUCUGUGUCAGCUCUUGAACCAAAUACGAUUGGCGUUUGUGUUGCUACCCUCAGUCUGGCAUUGUGUGUUCGAAUUUUAACCACAUUUCUGUUGGUGUGUUUUGCUGGUUUUAAUUUUAAGGAGAAAAUAUUUAUUGCUUUAUCAUGGAUUCCCAAAGCUACAGUCCAAAAGCUAAUGGAGAGUAUGUUCCUCCUAAAUGAAUAAACCAACAAAUGGGACAUGUGAUCAAGGAAACGAAAGAGAAAAAGAGUCACCGAUCCAUGAUUGGGUGAGUAGAUGAAAUUAAGAGAAUAUAAUAUGUUUAAACAAAUUGAGAGACUUACCUUGAGCUGGGUUUGAGAUUAAAUUGAUAAUUAUUACAUAGAAGCACAGUGAAAAUAAUAUCCGUUUGUUUUUCCAAAGUUAUUUUUUAUUUAAUUGAAAGAGUUCCCCUCUGCCACCCUAUUUUCCAAAUGUCCACAACAGCCCCCCGUUUCAGCUAGGACUGAAACUGAGACUCAGGAACUCAAAACAAGCUAUCAUAUGGAUUCAGGAACCUAGUCACUUCAGCUUCACUGGGUCUGUAUUAUGAGGAAGCUAAACUGAGGAGCAAGAGCGGAAACUGAUUCCAAGCAACUCCACUAUGGAUGUGGGCAUUCCAACAGCUAGGUCAAACACCACCCUGCUCAAAUAUUUUUUAAGGGACCAAGAAACUCAUUUUAAAAUGAGUAUUUUGACUUUGGUGUUCAGCAUUCUUACAUUGUACUUCCUCUUUAUUGGAAGGAACUUCAUUUGAACUGCUUUGCAUUGCCCACAGCUUUAAGAGGAAGUACAGAAAACUGGAAAUAAAAGUUAAAUUACAAAAACAAAACUGGAGUUUUGCUAUUUGUUAAUUAUUGUAAGUCAGUAAUUAAACUAUUUUUCAGUUAUCUUCCCUAGAACUUUAUAUUACCAAAAAAAAAAGCAGUCUAUAGAAUUCCCUGUGUAAAAUUCUUAGCCCCCUAAUAAAAUAGAAUGAGUUGCUUUUUUUUUUUUUUCUUAAGAUUUUAUUUAUAAAGGCAGUUUAGAGAUCUUCCUUCCAUCUGCUGGUUUACUCCCCAAAUGGUUGCAGUGGCCAGAGCUGGGCCAGGCAGAAGCCAGGCACCAGGAACUCCAUCCUGCUCUCCCAUGUGGGUGAUAAAGGCCCAAGUAUUUAGACCAUGUUCCACUGCUCUGCCAGGCACAUUAGCAGGAAGCCGGAUCAGCAGCAGAACAGUCAGGACCUGAACCCAUGCUCACAGCUUCACAGGCAGUAGCUUAACCGACCACACCAUAACAGCUACCCCUAGAAUGAGCUUUGAAAGAACCUUUAUACUCUAUAAUUCCAUGAGUGUAUAUUGAUUGAUCACUGUUGGAAUCAUUGACUAGAAAAAAGAUUAUGAUUAAAAGCAAAUAUAGGGCUCAGUGUUGCAGUAUUGGUGGGUGAAGCUGCUGCUUAUAACACCAGCAUCCCAUUUGGGCACUGGUUCAAACCCAGCUGCUCCUCUUCUGAUCCUGCUCCCUGCUAAGGUGCCUGAGAAAGCAGUGGAAGAUGGCCCAGGUGCUUGGGCCCUUGCCAUCCAUGCCGGAGACCCAGAAGAAGCUCCUGGCUUUGGCCUGGCCAAGCCCUGGCCAUUACAGCCAUUUGGGGAGUGAACCAGCAGAUGAUCACUCUCCCUCUCUCUAACUCUGCUUUUCAAAUAAAUAAAACAUUUUUAAAAAGUAAAUAUAAAGACAUGUAUAUGCAUAGUUAAAGGCUUAAUUCCAUAGAUUUUGGAAGUUUUUCUUUUUUUAGAAGCCAUAUUUUUUCCCUUAGAAAUUCUGUGCUCACUGUGAUCUGCAUAUAUAAUCAUUAAGUAGUAAAAUAAUAAAGUAAUAGGGCACAUUCUCAUUUACCUCAGAAGUCUGGAAUUAGUCUUCUCUAAGCAUUGAUAAACUAAACAUUAAAGAAAACAAGAAUAUGACUAAUGCUUUGUUAUGCUACUUGUGUGUUUAGAAUAAAUUAAUAAAUAAAGUAAGAUGUGUUCACCUUUGAGUUAGUAAACUCAGAGCAGCAUUUUCACCCUAACUGACAUCAGGAUGGUGGAAUACGAAGUCCCAGCCCUCAAAGGGUUUCAGAAAUACUGAUGAUAACAACCACUCACAGACAAGAUGAUUAUCUUUAACGGAGCUUGGGACUCCAACUCAAAGGUUUCAGCACGUAGGUAGAGCAAAAACUCCAAUAAUGGAUUCAUUGAAGAGGGUAAGAACAGUUUACUUGACUCACAUUGUCCUCCCCAAGGCACCACAGCUCAGAUCCAAAAGAGGCCUCCAUGGCCUAGGAAUUCUUGCAGGGGGAAAGAGUGAAGGGAAUGGCUAGUUUCCUUAAGUUUGUUUGAUGCUGCCCAAGGAGACCACUGCUGAUUUACUGCAUGCAAAACAUUCAGGGAGGGGCCAGUGCUGUGGCUUAGAGGUUAAAGCCACUGCCUGUAGUGCCAGCAUCCCUUAUGGGUAGCACUUUGAGCCCCAGCUGCUCUACAUCCAAUCAAGCUCUCUGCUAUGGCCAGGGAAAGCAGUGGAGAUGGCCCAAGUCCUUGGGCUCCCUGCAUGGAGACCUAGAAGAAGCUCCUGGCUCCUGGCCUCAGAUCGGCCCAUCUCUAGCCAUUGUGGCCAUUUGGGGAGUGAACCAGUGGAUGGAAGACUUUUCCUCUCUCUACCUCUCCCUUUCUGUAACUCUGCCUUUCAAACAAAUAAAUCUUAAAAAAAAAAAAAAAAACUAAACAUUCAGGGAAUCUCAUAACUGAAUAGUCUGGGAAUAGUUAGAUGCUGGGAUAAAAGGCUGAGGCACACCAGCAGCUAGUACUUAAUUCCCAACAGAUGGCCAUGGAUCCUGGUAACUGGCUUGUGGGACUCCACCACGAGGCCUGUGAAUGAACUCCACAGCAUGCCUCGUUCUAUAGAUUCUCUUAACUGGGAAGCAUCACCCAACUUGCCCCUUGUAGCCAGUGCCCCACCAUCCUCCAUGGAGGCCUGCAUACAGCACACAGAUUUCUGCAACUGGCUGCACUGCUGCACUGGAAGAAGGCACACAACCUUGAACACUUCAGCGUACUGUCCCAGAAAAAAUAGAUGGAGGAUCUCAGCACCCGAGCUCGACUGGCUCUCUGCCUAUCUCCACUCCACAAGACAGCCAGAGCAAUGGAGUAAGUAAAAGGUCUGGGAGACCCUCCAGAAUCUCUAGUCAGGUUGACUAGUGAUGAAAACCGUGCCCUCCUAAAGCUAGUCUCCAAAGCCAGAGUCCAGGAAAGGGCCAGUCUUGCUCUUUUGUAACAACUCUCUUUGAUGGGAACCAACCAGAAUCCCAUGAGAACCACAUUAAUCUCUUCCAAGAGUGAUGCCCUCAGUGACUCAAUCACCUCCCACUAGGCUUCACCUCUUAAAUGUUCCACAGGCAUCCAACACGUGAACCCUGGGGGACAACAUCCGUAUUGUAUCACCAUAAUAGCAUAGGAUGGAGUGAAGGUGGGAAGAAUGUAUCACUAUGGUAAUAGUAGUAAUUAUGAAAAUUGUGGAUAUGCCUGACCUCCUCCUAGACAGAAUGGCCACAAGAAAAACAAAAACAAAAACUAUGCAUAUGGAGGGGCCAGAGCUGUGUCACAGCAGGUAAAACCGCUCCCUGCAGUGCCGGCAUCCCAUAUGGGCGCUGGUUUGAGUCCUGGCUGCUCCACUUCCGAUACUGCUCUCUGCUAUGGCCUGGGAAUGCAGUAGAAGAUGACCCAAGUCCUUGGGCCCCUGCACUCACAUGGAAGAGCUGGAGGAGACUCCUGCCUCUGGCCUCAGAUCGGUGCAGCUCCAGCCAUUGCAGUCAAUUGGGGAGUGAACCAGCAGAUAGAAGACAUCUCUCUCUCUCUCUCUACCUCUCUUUCUUGAACUCUCUAUGUAACUCUUUCAAAUAAAUAAAUCUUAAAAAAAAUGCAUAUGGAGCAUCAACUCCUCUGCUGCAGUUUUGAAGGAGUUUCUUAUAUUCUGAAACUGCUGCACAGAUUUAUCGUACCAAUUAAAUGCCUGAUUUUUCCAGUUAAUCAUUCUAAGGUGAAAGCAUAGACAGGAUAGGAACAUUUGGGUGACAAGAAUUAGAACUUUGAACCUCCAUAUUCCCCUCAACCUCCCUUGUUCUCAGAGGAUCAGCCUCUACAUGGAGGGCCUUGGUGACCACUUUCCUCCUCAAAAGCUAAUACAUGCUGUCCUCAACUUCCCGUCUCCCAAUGCCUCCAGUUAAAUUCCCAAACAACUUGGUUAAGAAAGUAUGAAAGCCGGCGCCGUGGCUCACUAGGCUAAUCCUCCGCCUAGCGGCGCCGGCACACCGGGUUCUAGUCCCGGUCGGGGCGCCGGAUUCUGUCCCGGUUGCCCCUCUUCCAGGCCAGCUCUCUGCUGUGGCCAGGGAGUGCAGUGGAGGAUGGCCCAGGUGCUUGGGCCCUGCACCCCAUGGGAGACCAGGAAAAGCACCUGGCUCCUGGCUCCUGCCAUUGGAUCAGCGCGGUGCGCCGGCUGCAGCGCGCCGGCCGCGGCGGCCAUUGGAGGGUGAACCAACGGCAAAAGGAAGACCUUUCUCUCUGUCUCUCUCUCUCACUGUCCACUCUGCCUGUUAAAAAAAUAAAUAAAUAAAUAAAUAAUAAAAAAUAAAUAAAAAAAAAGAAAGUAUGAAGCCUGCUCUGGAAGGAGACAGCAUACACAAGAAUUAAAAGACUUUGCCAGGGCUGGCACUGUGACAUCAUGGGUAAAGCUGCCACUUGCAGUGCUGGCAUCUCACAUGGGUGCCAGUUCCAGUCCUGGCUGCUCCACUUCCAACCCAGCUCUCUGCUAUGGCCUGGGAAAAGCAGUAGAAGAUGGCCCAAGUGCUUGGGCCCUUGCACCCAUGUGGGAGACCCGGAAGAAGCUCCUAGCUCCUGGCUUUGGAACAGCUCAGCUCCGGCCAUUGUGGCCAUUUGGGUAGUGAUCCAAUAGAUAGAAGACCUCUUUGUCCUUCUCUCUUUCUGUAACUCUGCCUCUCAAAUAAAUAAACCUUUUAAAAAGAGAAAGAGACCUUGCCAAUUUAUUUAUUUUUGUUUUUUUUCUUUUUUUUUUGUUUUUUCUUUUUUUAUUGUUUUUUUUUUCUUCUCUUUUUGUUUUUAUUAUUCUUUUUGUUCUUUCAUUGCUUUUUUUUUUUCUUAGACCUUGCCAAUUUAAUCAGCAGGAACCUGGCAGGUAUCUAUGGAAGUGAGUUCUAAGAGUGUUAUUACCAAGGAAGAAUAAAUACAAAAUAAAAUCAAGGCAGAUUUAUUGGCAUAAAUAUACUCACCCAAGAAUCAAGAUGUAUUAUGUUGGCAUUAAUAGUUUGCUAGGAUGAGGCUUGGUCUCGGUAAUAGUGUACAAGUGAAAUGGUCCAAAUGCCAGAUAUUUCCUGAAAUACAAAGACUCUUAGCCAUCCUCAAUUUUCAAGUCACUUAGGAAUGCAAUGAUGACGGGAGCAUCAGCAUUCCCAAAGAACUCUGAAAUAGCAAUCUUUGUUUGCUAGACAUGAUGAUGAAUACUGUGGUAAAAUUGGGGUUCCUGAUCUCAGUGGCAGGGAUAGAAUCCCAAAGUGGUAGAGACAUACAACUAUUAGAGAUAAAGUGGGCAGGGUUACCACAAUCAAUCAAAGGAUAGAAUGUUAAUCAUACUGUUUUGACCCCAUGAAAAAAGAUGCUAAUGGUGAAGUGAUCAAGAGUUCUUGAAACAAAAAAAGAAGACCUAAAUGAAAGAUUUCUGCGAGUGAGAUCCCAGUGGAAAGAACGGGGCCAUCAAAGAAGGAGGUACCCUUCUCUGAAGGGAGGAGAGAACUUCCACUUUAACUAUGACCCUGUUGGAAUAAGAUCGAAGUCGGCGAAUUCAAAAGGCUUCCAUAGCCUUGGCAACACAUGACUAGAGCCUAGGGAGAUUACUGACGCCAUAAACAAGAGUGUCAAAUUGUUAAGUCAACAACAGGAGUCACUGUGUACUUACUUCUCCAUGUGGGAUCUGUCCUUAAUGUGUUGUCCAAUGUGAAGUAAUGCUAUAACUAGUACUGAAACAGUAUUUUACACUUUGUGUUUCUGUGUGGGUGCAAACUGAUGAAAUCUUUACUUAAUAUAUACUAAAUAGAUCUUCUGUAUAUAAAGAUAAUUGAAAAUGAAUCUUGAUGUGAAUGGAAUGGGAGAGGGAGCGGGAGAUGGGAGGGGUGCAGGUGGGAGGGAAGUUAUGUGGGGGGAAAGCCAUUGUAAUCCAUAAACUGUAAAAAAAAAAAAAAAGAGUUCUUGAAACAAAAUAGAUAACCUACUAAGAUGCUUAUUGAUGGAUAGGUAUAAAAAUUCUGAGAAAUAAGUUAACAUGUUAUUGUGAAACUAGAAAGAUCUCAUCUCUUUCUCAGACUUUGGACUCCUUGACUGAUGAAAAGAAACUGCAUUCUUUUGCGAAAGCUACAUUGGAACCACAGCUGUGUAUCAUGAAUUGUUCCCAAACCAGUCUGCACAUUUCAAUACCUUGUAGGAUAAUUCAGUUAUAAUCUCUCAGGGUGAGACCUAGGCAUUGGUAUUGUUUUUUAUUUGAAAGAGUUACAGAGAGGUAGAGAGAGACAGAGGUCUUCCAUCCACUGGUCCACUCCCAAGAUGGCUGCAACGGCUGGAGCUGCGCUGAUCUGAAGCCAGGAGCCAGGAGCAUCUUCCAGGUCUCCCACGUGGGUGCAGGGGCCCAAGGGCUUGGGCCAUCCUCCACUGCUUUCCCAGGCCAUAGCAAAGAGCUGGGUUGGAAGAGGAGCAGUCGGGACUAGAACCAGCGCCCAUAUGGGAUGCCAGCGCUUCAGGCCAGGGCUUUAACCCACUGCGCCACAGCACCGGCCCCGGUAUUGGUAUUUUUAAAAAUUGCCCAGGUGGCCAGCGCCGCGGCUCAAUAGGUAAUCCUCCGCCUGCGGCACCGGCACACCAGGUUCUAGUCCCGGUAGGGGCGCCAGAUUCUGUCCCGGUUGCCCCUCUUCCAGGCCAGCUCUCUGCUGUGGCCCGGGAGUGCAGUGGAGGAUGGCCCAAGUCCUUGGGCCCUGCACCCGCAUGGGAGACCAGGAGAAGCACCUGGCUCCUGGCUUCGGAUCAGCGCGGUGCGCUGGCUGCAGCACGCCAGCUGCAGCGGCCAUUGGAGGGUGAACCAAUGGCAAAGGAAGACCUUUCUCUCUGUCUCUCUCUCUGCCUGUCAAAAAAAAAAAAUUACCCAGGUAAUUCCAAUAAGGAGAAAAUUUAGGAAAUCACUGCUCUAACCAUUCUCUAGAGGGACCAGUACCAGCUUCCUGGAGAAAGGAAAGUAUCCAGAUCUCUUAAGGUCUAUUGCAUACUAUCUCUAAUCAUAUACUAAUAUCUGAAGACCCAGAAUUCCACACUGAGAAACUGGUCAGCAUAGAAGACCUAAGUCAAGUGAUAGAUGGAGUCUUGGCAUGAGCAGCUAACAGUGGAUCCAGAGGAACCCAUCUCCAGUCCCAGGAGACCCUGAUGGGGCCCAUCCAGUCUUGGACUGUGAACCUGCAGAACCAUGAGCAAAUAUAAAUCUUCCUUCUUUGAGGUAUUAUAGUGAUGAAUAAAAGUGACUAAUAGGGGCCGGCGCUAUAGCUUAGCAGGUAAAGCCACUGCCUGCAGUGCCGCAUCCCAUAUGGGCACUGGUUUAAGUCCUGGCUGCUCCACUUCCUGUGCAGCUCUCUGCUAUGGUCUGGGAAGGCAGUAAAGACGGCACAAAUCCUUGGAUCCUUGCACCCACGUGGGAGACCCGAAGGAAGCUCCUGGUUCCUGGCUUUGGAUCAGCGCAGCUACACCCAUUGCAGUCAAUUGGGGAGUGAACCAGUGGAUGGAAGACCUCUCUCUCUCUCUCUCUGCCUCUCCUCUCUCUAUAUAACUCUUUCAAAUAAAUAAAUAAAUCUUUUUUAAAAAAUUACUAAUACAAAAAAGCUACAUGGAAGCUCAAGACUGCCUUCUGCCACUCCUCAUCAAGAUAGUAAAUGCAAAGCAGCAUUGCAUGCCUGAGGAAAUUGCAGAUAUUAACACUGUCAUGCUGGCAUGAGGAUUCUUACCACAUUGCCAUUUCCACUACCUGUGUGGUCACCAGGUAGGUCUUACAGAAUACUGUAAAAACCAGGUGGGUAAUGAAGGAUAACAGCACAUUAUUGCAAAGCUUAAGCAGGCGGAGAUGACAUUUGCAGUAACUGUCUUAGAUAUGAUAUCUUCUUUGGAGGAAAUUAAUAAACAUGACAUGAUAUUGAUCUGGAAUUACCCCCCCCACACACACACACACUGCAGUCAGUAAAGAAAAUUAGCAGAUUGAGUUUAGAUAGCAAGGACAACAGUAACCCUCCUACUAUCUUAUCCUAUGUCAACUCUCUUGUAUGGUAUUAAGAGACCUUGGUAAUCUUGUUACACCGUAGAACAUCACAUUGAUUCAUUAUAGUAGUGAAAUUAGCAAAUAGUAUCCAGCAUUUACACACAUUGGUAAGACAUAUGCAUGGUAGGAGGUACACUAGAAACCCUACAAAACUUCCAGGACCUACAAGUGUCUUAGGGGUCCAGUAGCCUGAAACAUGUUAGAAUAUCUAUUCAGGACAGUAGAAAAUUGUGUCUUUUAAUCAAGGUAGUCACAUCUUCUGUUCUGAAACCAAAAAUUAGUUUCAUCAAUAAUUAACCACUAUAUAAAUUGAAUUAUACAUAGUGCAUUCUUUUGUGUCUGACUUCCUUCAUUUGAGAUUCAUUCAUGUUACUGGUAGAAGUUGUACAUUCAUUUGCACUAUUAUGCAAUAUUCUACUUUAUGUAUAUACUACAAUUUAUCCAUUUUACUGUUGUAGGAAGUUGGAAAUGUUUACUUUUUUGGCUAUUAUGAAAAGCACUACUAUGAACAUUCUUGUAUAUACCAUUAUGGUGUACAAAGAUACACCUUUUUGGCAGUUGCUCUAUUAUACCCUAAUAACCCACUUAAAGAAUUUUCUGGUCCCUGAAACUUUAGUUGCUUCCAGUGUCCUUGUGUGCAGUGGAGGAAUGCUUCACAGGAAAAAUGGUUUCAAUUAAUUAGAUGCAAAUGGUGUUCACCAGCAAGUUUGAACUGCUUAUAUCACUAAGCCAACAGAAAAGGAGAUCCCUGUACUGGCAACGGUGAGGCUCCUACUUAACAGAAGAAAACUGGAUUCAGUAUUACUUCAUGUAGAAUGUAGGGUAUUCACUCAGAUGCAUUCAGUGCUCUCUCGGCCAGUAGUCCAAUAAAAAAAAAAAAAAAAAAAAAGGAGGGGGUAUGACCCCCUAAGGACCUCCACUAAGACUCGGAUCAUACAAGACUGUUAUCUUGGUUACCUCACCUGUAAAAUAACUCCAUUCAGCUUAGCUGUUGGUAAAGAUUGAGAGAAGUCUAGAAUAGGUGGUAAAAGAAAGCAGUUGUGCUUAUGACUCUAGGCCUUAUGACCAGUGAAAAAGCAGGUUCUAUGAAACUGUGUUUUGUUACUUCUUUUCUUCUCUACUGUGUAUGAAGAAUUCUGGGGUGGCUAAUGUUUUUGGUUUUGAGUGAACAUAUGACUGAAUUAACACCACUGCAUGAUGACUUAGUAGCUGACAGGAGGAUACUGGUGAAAAGAGUGAGAUGAGGGUAUUUAUUUCACUGCUCCCUUUGUUAGAGGUUACCUCGUAACUGGAUUGCCUUGUAGAAAUCAGGCUACCUUGUAAUUGGGUGCGUACUCUAACAAAAAGCCACUGCAUCCCUUGAAGUGAAUUUUUCACAAUUUUCUCUCCUUCCAGAUUCUGGUAACUUCCUCAUCCCUUUGUGUCUUUGGGUGUAAAGGUGGUACAGCUCCCCUGCUGUUAGCCCUGGGUUACAGAACUAUCCCUUAUGAUUCCAUUGUACCCUACACACAAAUUUGUUAUCAGUCCCACUGUAAAUAAAUCCUUACUAAAUGAUCCCAACCUGAAUGUUAUUUGUUUCCUAUUAGGACCCUUACAAAGGACCUUUUUAUAUCUCGUUUUGCUUCUUGUAUAAAUGCUACUUGGAUAAUAGCAUGGCCACACCAUCUAUCUAUCUGUUAGUUUUACAGGGGUGUGUGUGUGUGUGUGUGUGUGUAUAUAUGUACAUGUAUAUAUUUGUAUAUAUACAUGCUAUAUAUAUAUAUAUGGUGUGUGUGUAAAUAUUUAAAAUUUGUGUCAUAGUGGGUUAAGCUGCCUGCAAUGCCAGCAUCCUGUAUGGACGCUGGUUCAAGUCUAGGCUGUUCCACUUGGCUUCUACCUUCAGCCUGGCCCAGCCCCAGCAAUUGUGGCCAUUUGGGAAGUGAACCAGCAGAUGGAAGAUGUCUUUCUCUGUUUCUCCUCCUCUUUCUAUAACUCUGCCUUUCAAAGAGACAAAUCUUUUAAAAAAUUUUUUGUCUCUUGAAAAUAAGCUAAAGGUGUAUUUUAUUAGCCCAAGGUGACACUUUGUCUUUUAGUUGGGAAUACUAAUUUACAUUUAAUGUGAGUACUGAUAUAUGGAGCUUUAGAAGUGCCACCCUACCAUAUUUUAUUUGUCCCACCUGGUUUACAAGCUUUUUUCUUUUUAAGGAUUUAUUUAUUUGAAAGUCAGAGUUAAACAGAGUAAAAAGAGGCAGAGAGAGAGAGAGAGAGAGAGAGAGAGGUCUUCCAUCCACUGGUUCACUUCCCAAUUGGCUGCAACUGCUGGAACUGCACCGAUACGAAGCCAGGAGCCAGGAGCUUCUUCUGGGUCUCCCACGCGGGUGCAGGAGCCCAAGGACUUGGGCCAUCUUCCACUGCUUUCCCAGGCCAUAUCGGAGAGCUGGAUCAGAAGUAGAGCAUCCAGGACACGAACCAGUGCCCAUAUGGGUUACUGGCACUGCAGGCGGCAGCUUUACCUGCUACACCCUAGUGCCAGCCCCAAGCUUUUUUCUUUACUUCCUUUGCAAUUUAUCAAGUUUUUAGGAAAUUAGUUCAUCUUUUUCUAGACUUUUAGUUCUGUGUUCACUAUUCUUUUGUUGUUGUUGCUCACUAUCUUAAUUCCUCUAGGAAGCUGAUUGCUCAUCCCUGACUUCUAAAAUUCUAAUAUGUAUAUUAGUACUUCUGCCACUCUAUGGACAUUGUAAAAAUACCCUCUAACACUUUAUUUGUGCUCCCUAAAUUUUUGUUGCUGUUAUGAAUUAAAUCUGUAUGUUUUAACACAGUAUUGCAGCCUUGCUUUGUAAAGUUAAUGUUCACUUAGAUUUACCUACAUAUUUUUCCUUUUUAUUGCUGUUAAUUCCUCACAGAAUAUCAGCACUUCCUUCUUACAUCAUUUUUCUCUGCCCAGAGGCUGCUCUUUCUUUUAGAGCAGAUAUGCUUGUGAUGAAUUCUUAGUUUCUGUGUGUAUGAAAAUAACUUUAUUUUGCACUAUUUUUAUAGUUAUUUUGAUAUGGAAUUUUAUGUUCACAAUAUUUUCUUUCAGUAAGUUGAAGAUAGCAUAAUUUGAGUUGCGAAGCAGCUUUCUUAUUGCCACUCAUGUAAUAAAGUAACUUAUCUUUGUCCUCUGGUUGCUUUUGGUUUUGUUUUCUAGGUUUUAGCAGUUUUACUAUGAUGUGACUUGGUGUGAUUUUCUUGCUUUUUCAGGUGGCUUUUAUUUUAGACAUCUUUUCAAAUGAUGCCUUCUUCCAUCGGUCACUCCUUUCCUGGGUCUUUACUUAUACCUAAAUUAGACAUUUAAAAAAAAAAAUCCUUGUUCUGUAUAUCUCCUCUUCUCCCCACUCCCUAAUUUUUUAUAUUUUCAUCUCUCUCUCUAAAUACACCUGCAUAUUUUCUUCUGAAAUUUCUUCCAGUUCCUUGCUUGUCUUCAACUCUAUAAUUGGCCAUUAGAUCCAUUGAUUGGAUGUUUGUCUUUCAGCUGUAGAAUUUUCAUUUGGUUUUCUGUGUUUCCAGGCACUACAAACAUUCCUAUUCUUAUGUUUUUUUUUUAAGUUUAAGAACAUAUUAAUUACAGUGAUUUUUGAAGUCCUUAUAAUUUUUAUGGGUUGCUUCCUGUUUUCUCUUGCCUUUUUGUAUACCUGAUUAUUUUUGUGUCCUGAAUAUUACAUAUAAAAUAUCACAGAGAUAUUUUGAGGCUGUGGAUAACAUUACUUUCCUCUAAAGAGGAUUUCUUUUGCUUCUGUUAGGCAGCUAGACAAGGGCGAUAUAUAGACUUGCAUCACCACAAUAUAGUUAUGCCUGAGAUGACUCUGUUCCUGUAAGUUCUGAUCUACUUUCAGUUCAUUCUGAUUCUUCAGGAUCUCAAAUGAAAACCCUAGUGAGGCAGGAUAGAUAACUGGCAUAGGGCAAGUGGCCUGCUCUACGGCAAGCACUUUUGGUGUCAUAACCACCUCUUGAAAACAAGUCCUGAUCAACAAUAACCAAGCAGUUAUACCCCAACCAUUUUUUAAUACUGGACAGGCAAUCAAAAACCAGUUUUAAUAGCUCUAAGCUUCAUCUUAACCACUGACCAACCUUUGCUUUAUUAUAAUAGUAAAACACAUACAUCACUGGGGGGAAAAUUGAGAUUCUAGUGAAAUACACAAUGUAUGUUAGAGUGUGUUAUCCCAGUAGUACUACAUGACAAAGACUCACCCAUCAGUAAAGGAUGCUGCCACAAGCUGGAAAAGCCUGAUAAAAGAAUCUCUACCGGCACCUGGGACACAGCUCAUUCUCUAGUGUGCCCACACUCACUCCUUCAGUGUGUACUUCUGCUUUGCAAUAAAAAUUUUUUACUGGCCCUUGUGUCCUAUCUUCAAAUUCUUUCCUGUGUUGGUGACCAGAACCUGGACCCCUCAUUCCACACAAUCCUUGGUGAGCCAAGCAGGAGUUGAAAGCCCACUGAGAAAUCAGCCAAUGAAUCUUUCUGUCAACUGUAAUCUCUGUUGUGGUUGAGAAUCUUGGACUGUGUCCCUCUACCCUCUCUUCUUCACGCCAUUCUCACCCACUAUGGACUAAUUCCUCUUAACCCAAUGAUGUCUGCUCCCUCCAGCAACUGUUGGGAGGUGGGAAUGCCAAGAGCCAACAUCAUCCAGAUAAGAUGCCAGGGAUCCUUUCUGAUGAAGCCUUGUAAGAAUGGUUGGGAUUUGCUCCAAGGCAUUGGCUGGGAAGUCUCUUAUCUUUAUUGCAAUCUAGCUAUGAUAUUUUUUACAUUGUCUUCUAAAACCCCUACUUUCCUGUUAAAAACAUAGUAUUCCACUGCCAUAGCUAAGGAAAUAUUGGGCCCUGGGUGGCAAGCCUCUUUUUAUUGAUGGAUAACAAAUUCUGCCACACUGUAGACCCUAACUAUCCUUGCUAUACCUGUGGAAAAUCUUGAAGCUCCUGUCCAGCAUCAAGUCUAGCCUCACCCUCUAUAAAGACAGGUGAAUUCGAUGGAUGAAUUAUUAUUAAGUGCCCCUCCACCACCCAGGGUCCAACUACCUCAACCUCAACCUGCCUAAGUGUGAAGGGAUGAUGGGACUUCCUCUCUCUCAAGUCCUGAUUCUGUUUUGCUCCCUACCAGCCCCCAGCCUCCACCCUAUAAUCCAGUCUGUGUUCCUUUACUAGGAAGUAGUUCAUCUGGGGUCACCUGUAGUGGAGCAAAUAGACUUUGCCCCCUGGGGGAAGUAGCCAAUGGAGAAGCUAGGAUAAUAAGUACAUGUUCCUUUCUCCGUGACUGAUCUAACUCAGUGCAAACAAAACCUGGGGAGAUGCUUGGAAGGUGCCACUUAGAUUAUUGAAGAGUUUCAGGCCUUAACCCUAGCCUUUGAUCUAACCUGGGUGACUUACAUAUUGGUAUAUCUGUUGUACCAUGGAAGGAAAACAGCAAAUUUGUGCUGAAACCCAAGUUCAUACCGAGUCCCUGACAGCUCAGCAACCCAGCUAAUAUGCUAUGGGAGCCACAGCAGUUCCUCAAACAUAUCCCAAAUGGAACUAUCAAAGAGGUCAUGGGGCUUUAGGGUGCUAAAGCCACAGAGUUACCUGAUUGGUGACUGGGAUAAAAGAAAAAAAAAAAUACACUGUUAAGCCAAUCAAUUAUGACAAAAUUAGAAAGCCCAGCUCUAGUCCAGAGACAACUGAUAGAGGCCUUAAAGAGAUACAGCAACAUAGAACCCAGCACACCUGAGAGACAGGUCUUGGUCAGUAUUCAUUUCAUCAGUCAGCCCCAGACAUUCAGAGAAAACUCCAAAAUUUAUCAGUAGAACCCCCAAAUUCCCAGUAACCAGACGCUAGCUACAGUGUUUGGCAUACUUAGUAACAGAGACAAAGCUGAGGAGAAAAGGGGGCUCUACUUCAGGGAACAAUGUUCUUUACAACAAGCUCUCAUGGUGGCAGUUUCUAUAAACCAGUGCUCUGCAGCCUCACAGUCAACCUAAGGGGUGUCCAGGUGUAAGUGAAAAAUCCAAAGGAGAACUUAAAGUGGGAAACCAGGACAUUGGCUCAAAUAAUGUCUCCACCUGAGAGAGCCACCCAGACCAUGUCCUCAAUGCAAACAAGAAGGAUGCUGGAAAUGAGAUUGUCCCCA